GAUGAACGCUAGCGAUAGGCCUAACACAUGCAAGUCGAGGGGCAUCACAUGAAGUAGCAAUACGGAUGGUGGCGACCGGCGCACGGGUGAGUAACACGUAUGCAACCUGCCUUCAACAAGGGGAUAACCCGUUGAAAGACGGACUAAUACCCUAUAACACAGGGGUCCCGCAUGGGAAUAUUUGUUAAAGGACAACCGGUUGAAGAUGGGCAUGCGUUCCAUUAGCUAGUUGGCGGGGUAACGGCCCACCAAGGCAACGAUGGAUAGGGGAACUGAGAGGUUUAUCCCCCACACUGGUACUGAGACACGGACCAGACUCCUACGGGAGGCAGCAGUGAGGAAUAUUGGUCAAUGGACGCAAGUCUGAACCAGCCACGUCGCGUGAAGGAAGACGGCCCUACGGGUUGUAAACUUCUUUUGCAAGGGAAUAAAGUGGGCCACGUGUGGCCUUUUGCAAGUACCUUGCGAAUAAGGAUCGGCUAACUCCGUGCCAGCAGCCG
rnacentral:rRNA from 1 species